AACACAAAUACGAUGGAAAGCCACCAGAAACAUAUGAGUGGAGACAGGCACACUCUGACUUAUAUUUGAAAUGGAUUGCUCUGGCACUGUGGACAGAAAACUGUGUGUAUGUGUGUUCAUCUGUGUUGCGGAGUAGAUGAGGAGAAACAGCAAGUAGUAGCAGGGAGAUCAACUGGGAGGCUACUGAAGCCAUCCAUAGAAGAAAAGCUGGUGGUCUGGACAAGGUGAUAGUUGAAUGAAGGAAGGAAGGAAAAACUGAGUUGAGAAUUACUUCAAGGUGUUUGGCUUGACCAUUGAGGUGAAUAAUGGUGGUGCCAUUUAAUGAGCUGCUCAGCACUGGAGGAAAUCAAAUUCGUGGGAAAUGUAUUUUCUCACAGUCCUGGAGGCUGGAGUCAGAGAUCAGGGUGCCAGCCUGGCUGGGUUCUGGUGGGGGCCCUCUUCCAGGCUUGCUCAUGACUGCCUUCUCUCACUGUGUCUCUCCCCUGUUGUUUGAGCCACAAAAUCUGUGGUAUUUUAUUAUCACAACCUGAGCUGCCUAGACAGGAUGUUAAGACUAGAUGAUCCGGGGAUCUCUUUUGGCUCCAAUAUUGCACAAUUUGAUAUAAUAUUUGAUAAUUUCUGUCUAAUUUUGUAAAAUUUCAUGCUAGCAAUGGAACUAAAGAAGUCUUUGUUUUAGAAUGUCCUUCUGAGAGUUAGGAAUGUAGAUCCAGGCUCCUUGGCUGUUUAGCAUCUCAGGCUGCAUUGUGAUGAGGAAGCAGACAGAAGAACUGGUAUCAAAGCCAAGUGUUUAUCCAAAUUCUGCAUUAAGAAUAUAACGUUUUCAGUGAAGGUUUUUGUAGAUGUGAAAAAAGAGUACAUGUGAAAAGUAAGAAAAAGAAAGCCAACAACUGAAAUCUUCCAGGAUAACACCAAAAAAAGUGUUCCAACCUUGGCUUGGCUACAUGGAACACAGAAGGCAUCUACCAUGGUACCAAGGCAUGAAACAGAUGAGCCAGGACUCCCCAGCCCUUCAAUCAGCAGGUGGGCUGCAGCCACACAAAGGCUCACCACCUGAGGAACGACGUCUUGGCUGCAGGGUAACUUACUGAGUGUGGAUGAGCACGUGCUGCUUGAGGUCCUGCCUCCGCAUAAACAACUUGUCACAGUAAUCACACUUAAGAUUCUUCUCCCCAGUGUGGAUAACCAUGUGGGACUCCAGGUGAGCCUUCUGGGUGAAAGACUUGUCACACAAGGUACACCUGUAGUUCUUCUGACCUGCAAUCAGCCCAAAGUAUUACACCGUGAAGAAAACAACUGCUGGCAUCCCCAAGACACACAGGCACACAUAUGUGCAUGCAGCAGAGGCAGGAAUGAAACAGAGCUGACUGGGUCUUGCUCAGUAGCUGCAAGCUGGAGUGCAGUGGCGUGAUCACAGCUGACUGCUGCCUCUACCUCCUAGGCUCAUGAGAUCUUCCCACCUCAGCCCCCCAAGCAGCUGGGACCACAGAUUCUAAGAAGCAAUCCCGGAAGAAGGCAAGAAUCAAGAUAGUAAGCUCUAUCUUCCCUACUCAUUUAGGGUAAAAUAAUUUCCUACACAGUUCUACAGUUUAUGUGUGUGUUUCUAACUGACCUAUGCAACCAUCUGCCAGUUGCUGAUUUUACACCUUUUUCUUCGCAUAAAAUAUAAUAAACUAACUGAAAUGC
rnacentral:antisense_RNA from 1 species